rnacentral:rRNA from 1 species
ACGGAAGGCAGCAGUGGGGAAUAUUGGGCAAUGGGGGAAACCCUGAUGCAGCGACGCCGCGUGAGUGAAGAAGUAUUUCGGUAUGUAAAGCUCUAUCAGUAGGGAAGAAAACAAUGACGGUACCUAACUAAGAAGCCCCGGCUAACUACGUGCCAGCAGCCGCGGUAAUACGUAGGGGGCAAGCGUUAUCCGGAUUUACUGGGUGUAAAGGGAGCGUAGACGGCGAGGCAAGUCUGAAGUGAAAGCCCGGGGCUCAACUCCGGGACUGCUUUGGAAACUGUUUUGCUAGAGUGCAGGAGAGGUAAGUGGAAUUCCUAGUGUAGCGGUGAAAUGCGUAGAUAUUAGGAGGAACACCAGUGGCGAAGGCGGCUUACUGGACUGUAACUGACGUUGAGGCUCGAAAGCGUGGGGAGCAAACAGGAUUAGAUACCCUGGUA